rnacentral:pre_miRNA from 1 species
GCGCGCGAGGUGGAGAAGCAGGGCACGUGCAUUCCUAGAGCUUCCGUCCAGCUCCCCGGCGGGCUAGCUAGCUCACUCCGCCGCCGCCGGCGCGCGCACGGCUGGCUGGCUCCGGCCGGCUGAGAUGCAUGUGCCCUUCUUCUCCACCGUGCACGC